rnacentral:rRNA from 1 species
CAGUUUGGUUUGCUUGCAAACCAAAGCUGGCGACCGGCGCACGGGUGAGUAACACGUAUCCAACCUGCCUCAUACUCGGGGAUAGCCUUUCGAAAGAAAGAUUAAUAUCCGAUAGCAUAUAUUUCCCGCAUGGGUUUUAUAUUAAAGAAAUUCGGUAUGAGAUGGGGAUGCGUUCCAUUAGCUUGUUGGCGGGGUAACGGCCCACCAAGACUACGAUGGAUAGGGGUUCUGAGAGGAAGGUCCCCCACAUUGGAACUGAGACACGGUCCAAACUCCUACGGGAGGCAGCAGUGAGGAAUAUUGGUCAAUGGACGCGAGUCUGAACCAGCCAAGUAGCGUGAAGGAUGACUGCCCUAUGGGUUGUAAACUUCUUUUAUAUGGGAAUAAAGUGGUCCACGUGUGGAUUUUUGUAUGUACCAUAUGAAUAAGGAUCGGCUAACUCCGUGCCAGCAGCCCGCGGUAAUACGGAGGAUCCGAGCGUUAUCCGGAUUUAUUGGGUUUAAAGGGAGCGUAGGCGGAUUGUUAAGUCAGUUGUGAAAGUUUGCGGCUCAACCGUAAAAUUGC